CCUACGGGUGGCAGCAGUGGGGAAUAUUGCACAAUGGGGGAAACCCUGAUGCAGCGACGCCGCGUGAGUGAAGAAGUAUUUCGGUAUGUAAAGCUCUAUCAUCAGGGAAGAAAAUUACGGUAACUGAUUAAGAAUCCCCUGCUAACUACGUGCCAGCAGCCGCGGUCAUACGGAGGGGGCAAGCGUUAUCCGGAUUUACUGGGUGUAAAGGGAGCGUAGACGGGAGCGCAAAGCUGAAGUGAAAUGCCGGGGCUUAACCCCGUGACAGCUUUGGAAACUGUGCAGCUAGAGUGCAGGAGAGGUAAGUGGAAUUCCUAGUGUAGCGGUGAAAUGCGUAGAUAUUAGGAGGAACACCAGUGGCGAAGGCGGCUGACUGGACUGUAACUGACGUUGAGGCUCGAAAGCGUGGGGAGCAAACAGGAUUAGAUACCCCAGUAGUC
rnacentral:rRNA from 1 species